GCGCCGUUUCGGAUUCUCACAACUUCGGAAACACCACAGACUGUGGUAAUGCUCUUUGGUAUCCUUUGCUUGCUAGGGUUUGGAACAGUUAGUUAAAAGCUAAACCAGACAGAAGACAGAACCAUAUACAAGGUUCCUCUAUUUUAUGAACUUGUUUGUGAGAGUGGAGACGACAUUGUCUGUGGUGGGGGGGGGUUUCCUUGUAGAAUGGUAAAAAGAGGUUGGUGAUUUGGAUCUAUACUCCAUUACGAUGGAUGGGUCUUGCUCAGAUGCUAAACUGUUGGAGCAGAUUCGUACAGUUUCUAGGCUAAAAAAAAGGAGAACUUCACCAGCAGGAGUUUUGUGCUCAUCUUGCUUUUCUGAUAUGAAUUUUGGUACACUCCAAGGCUUUUGCCGAUGAAAUUGGAACUCCUUUCAUGGAGACUAGUGCAAAAGAUGCUACAAACGUGGAACAGGCUUUCAUGGCCAUGUCGGCAUCCAAUCCAUCAAAGAGAGCAUGGCAAGCCAACCAGCUGGGAACAAUGCCAGACCGCCGACGGUGCAGAUCAGAGGACAGCCUGUUGCCCAAAAGAAUGGCCUAGCAAUAUCCUUUUCCGUUCAGUCUUCGAGUCCUACAACCUUAAGCCAAAAUUGUUCUCUUCAGUUCACUUGUACUUUGUACGUCAUUUCUGGUCUGUAAUUAAGCUCACUUGUCCUUUGGUUGGCUGUUUUUCUCUUUGCGUAUCAACAUUUUCGUACCACCACAUUUUUGUGGCUGCCUUCAGUGUAUUUAUAUACUGUCGUUUUGCUUAACAGUGUUUAUUAGAAAACUCACUGUUUUAUUCACUUAACACAAGUUACCUUAUCAUUUUCUUACAUCAGAACUCUUUUGCAUUUCUAGACUAGUAUAACGAAAAGUAGACGUCUCAUAACUUUGAAGCAAUUUCUCUUUCUAGAAUGGUAUCACGGAAAAAAACCUUCAAGCCUCUCCAGCUUUCCCCAGUAAUUAAACUACUCUCAGCCUUCCUCUCUGUUUCUCCUUUUGUGCCUUUUCUGAAUGUCAAACAUUGUGUGUUGGUUUCUUAUUGCAGACGACUUUUGGCAGCAGUUUUUGAAUACUUUGGACCAGAUUCGUACAGUUUCUAGGCUAAAAAAAAGGAGAACUUCAGCUGCAGGAGACUGAGCUCCGAGCUCAGAUGAUGGCAGUGGAAAAGCCAGAGGAACUUUGAUGUCUCGGUCUGCUGAGUAUGAGAAUGAUGCUGCUAGAGUGCAGGUUAUUAUUUACUCCUUUGAUUGUUUUUUGUAUUAUCAUUGAGCAUUUCAAUGUUGCGUAGAAGAUGAAGUUGACUUUUAUAGGAGCAACUUUGUGACAAGGAGGGUUGAGGGGAUCUGUUCGGGAGAUAGAAUAGAUUUUGGCUUUGCAGUUAUGUCGUGAAUGAACACUGGAACGACUGUCCCUCCUCGGUUCUAGACAUUUACCACGAGCUUAUAGCUGGUGCGCUUCGUAUUUGGGUUUUCAGUGGUGACGCAGAUGCUGUUGUACCAGUCACAUCAACCCGGUACAGCAUAGAUGCUCUUAAGUCUUAACCUUAGUCCAUAUGGCCUUUGGUGCAUACUGCACAUGUACGAACUUGUUAAAGAGUAGUAUAAGAUUGGGUAAGAAAUAGAACUUGAACUUGCAACAAUGAUUCUGAACGCCUCAGUGUUUAUUCUAGGCUUGUUUCUUUUGUUCCCAUGAUCAGUUUUGUCUAGCUUCUUUAAUAAUAAAUUCUAUAUCACUUCAUCUUCAUCUCUUGAUUAGGUGGUUAGCCUUUGAAUUUCAAACCACGUGUUAUCUAUAUCCCCUAUAUAUUCUAUAACCUCCCCACCUUUUCUUACUUCCUACAAUAUCGGGAUCCACUAUUUUCAUGUAAAAGUAGAUGAUCUUCACGUAUACAUCAUAUACUCAUCGCAUAAGAAAGAAUAUGACCAUCAGUUAUUUGACUACAAUAUAUUUCCUUUUUUCCUUAUGGUUGUUUCUGAAAUCACUCUAUAGCUGCUUUCCUUUAUUCCAGUUACUGGUCUGAGAUUACAAAAUUUUAGUCAAAAUUUUUAACUAUGGUUUUUAAGCAUAAGAUUUUUUAAAUUGGAUAAUUUUUAAAUUUUUGGAUAGACAAACAUUCAGGUAAUUCGAUCAAUAAAUAGCAUUUUUAGUGUAUUUGGUUAUUUAGAAAUUAAAUAUGAUUAAUAUCUAUAAAUAUUUGGUUCGCGAUUUGGUUUCGGUUCAGUUUCAGAUAAUUUGUAAAGUUUAGGAUAAACAAUACUCGGGUAAUUCUGUUACUAAAUAGUAUUUUUUAAUAUAUUUAGGUGGGUUCAGCCCAUCAGAUGUUGAGUUUAAGACGUUUUCAGUCUCAAAAUGCCGUAGUAACAAUUCCUACACAGUCCACUGUAUUAGAAGAAGAUUAAACAAAUCACAAUCGGGAAAUUAACAGAGUUGUGCAAUGGAAAUUGGCUGCAACUUGCAACAAACAGCACAACAAGGAACAUGGUACGAGAAGAAAGAUGCCGGAAGGUGGUAACGAGGAAGCAUCAACUUUCUGAGACAGAGCAAUCAAUUCAUGGUUUGAUGGUUCUCCUCAAACCAUCAAAAGAACCAUGAGACUUUUGCAUUGGAAUUGUAAGGGGUUGGGGAGCCCUCUGACAAUUCCACACUUAAAAGGACAUCAGGAGAAGCCAUAACCCUGAGAAUGUAAAUAUUGUAGUAUAAGAACUAGCCAGGGAUCAUCUAGGUUAUGAUCACACUUUUGUAAUUCCGAAGUAGCGGGGGGUUAGCAAUAUUUUGGAGCGAUAGGAUCAAGAUUCACUUUUUGGGUGAUCCUAGUUUGUAUAAAACAAAUACAUGUAUGUAGAAGAUGGAAGCAAAACUUUUUGUUUGACAUAUAUAUAUAUAUGGAAACCCUGUUGAAAAGUAUAGAAAAGAGCAAUGGUAUGACUUGAUCCAAUCUGAGUAUGCAGGAUUUUUGAAGCACAAGCUAAGGUUAAUGAUAGGGGACUUCAAUGACAUAAAGAAUAAUGCGGAGAAACAGGGAGGCGUUAUAAGGUCAGCUAAGUCUUUUACUCAGUUUAAUCGCUUGUUAGCAAUACUGGG